UACGAAGGGGGCUAGCGUUGUUCGGAAUUACUGGGCGUAAGGCGUGCGCAGGCGGCCUCUCAAGUCAGGGGUGAAAGCCCAGAGCUCAACUCUGGAAUUGCCUCUGAGACUGAGAGGCUCGAGUACGGGAGAGGUGAGUGGAAUUCCCAGUGUAGAGGUGAAAUUCGUAGAUAUUGGGAAGAACACCAGUGGCGAAGGCGGCUCACUGGACCGUAACUGACGCUCAUGCACGACAGCGUGGAGAUCAAACAGG
rnacentral:rRNA from 1 species